GUCCCGAGGUGAUUUACAUGUUGAAUUGCAAGUUCAAAGGGGCAGUUUAAAGUCUCUGCCGGGGCUUC
rnacentral:tRNA from 1 species